rnacentral:rRNA from 1 species
UGGGGAAUUUUGGACAAUGGGCGCAAGCCUGAUCCAGCCAUGCCGCGUGCGGGAAGAAGGCCUUCGGGUUGUAAACCGCUUUUGUCAGGGAAGAAAUCUUCUGAGUUAAUACCUCGGGAGGAUGACGGUACCUGAAGAAUAAGCACCGGCUAACUACGUGCCAGCAGCCGCGGUAAUACGUAGGGUGCAAGCGUUAAUCGGAAUUACUGGGCGUAAAAGCGUGCGCAGGCGGUUUUGUAAGACAGAGGUGAAAAUCCCCGGCUCAACCUGGGAACUGCCUUUGUGACUGCAAGGCUUGAGUGCGGCAGAGGGGGAUGGAAUUCCGCGUGUAGCAGUGAAAUGCGUAGAUAUGCGGAGGAACACCGAUGGCGAAGGCAAAUCCCCUGGCCUGCACUGACGCUCAUGCACGAAAAGCGUGGGGAGCAAAACAGGAUUAGAUACCCUGGU